rnacentral:rRNA from 1 species
UACGGGGGGGGCAAGCGUUGUUCGGAAUUACUGGGCGUAAAGGGUUCGUAGGUGGCCAACUAAGUCAGACGUGAAAUCCCUCAGCUUAACUGGGGAACUGCGUCUGAUACUGGUUGGCUUGAGUGCAGGAGAGGAACGCGGAAUUCCAGGUGUAGCGGUGAAAUACGUAGAUAUCCGGAGGAACACCAGCGGCGAAGGCGGCUUUCUGGUCCGAUUCUGACGCUGAGGCGCGAAAGCGUGGGGAGCGAGUCCGG